UACGAAGGGGGCUAGCGUUGCUCGGAAUCACUGGGCGUAAAGGGUGCGUAGGCGGGUCUUUAAGUCAGAGGUGAAAUCCUGGAGCUCAACUCCAGAACUGCCUUUGAUACUGAGGGUCUUGAGUAUGACAGAGGUGAGUGGAACUGCGAGUGUAGAGGUGAAAUUCGUAGAUAUCGGGAGGAACACCAGCGGCGAAGGCGGCCACCUGGACGGAUACUGACGCUGAGACGCGAAAGCGUGGGGAGCAAACAGG
rnacentral:rRNA from 1 species